UACGGAGGGUGCUAGCGUUGUUCGGAAUUAUUGGGCGUAAAGAGCACGUAGGCGGCUUUUUAAGUCUGGGGUGAAAUCCCGGGGCUCAACCCCGGAACUGCCCUUGAAACUGGAGGGCUAGAAUCUUGGAGAGGCGAGUGGAAUUCCGAGUGUAGAGGUGAAAUUCGUAGAUAUUCGGAAGAACACCAGUGGCGAAGGCGGCUCGCUGGACAAGCAUUGACGCUGAGGUGCGAAAGCGUGGGGAGCAAACAGG
rnacentral:rRNA from 1 species